rnacentral:rRNA from 1 species
UUAAUGGAGAGUUUGAUCCUGGCUCAGGACGAACGCUGGCGGCGUGCCUAAUACAUGCAAGUCGAGCGGGGGUCUUCGGACCCUAGCGGCGGACGGGUGAGUAA